UUGUAACUGAAAGCACAUCUCUGUCCGUUCUCCUUGCAGCGAGUAAAAUAACUAAUUCUUUGCCUUUCUCUUCUUUUUGUGAUGAUUAUAAGUAUUUUAGGUUGUUUGAACCUGACAAUACCCCCCAAGGCUUGCAGCUGCAUUAGCAGCAAAAUUAUGGAACUAAAUUGGGGCCAUAAAGUUUGUUCAAAAGAAAAAAAAAUUGAACCUGAAAAAUAAUAGUUUGCUCAAAAGAAAACAAUUUGAACCUGAAAAAUAAUAGUUUGUACAAAAGAAAAAAAUUUGAACCUCAAAAAUUAUUUUGAACCUCCCCACAAAAAAUUUCAAAACUGGAAAAACGUUUUGUAACUGAAAAAACGUUUGAAGUUUGAAGCCAAAUUUAUAAAAUCUGCAAGUGCGAACAUUUUAUUUUUUUCCAGUUUCACAUGUUUUUUUCAGGAAUGUUUCAAUUGAGGGACAAAUAAAGUAAUAUUCUAUGCUAUUCUUUUCUAUUCUGUAUUCCUUGUCUUCCUUUUCUAAGUCACCGAUUGGUGUUCCAGACCUUCCAACCAAAAGUCUCUCUCCAUAGGCAUCCUAAAUUCCUCCCUUGCCUGAGUAGCCACAGUGGCUACAGCCUUUCUGGCCAUCAAGUACCUGUCAGUCGUUUCAAGAGUCCUCAAGGACAACCAAGCCCCAGCAUCUGCAAUGGAGAUCCUGAACAUCGGUGGUAGGGGAGGCUGACAGACCUAGUAAACCUAAAUGGGUUUUUAGUAGGAGUUAUUUUAAAUUUAUAUCAAGUGUAAGGUUUCCUCUGAUGAUUUCUUCAUUUUUCUACUGUUGUAUGACAUCUAUCUACUAUGGGUUAGAGAACUUUACUGAUAACCUCACAUCAGAAAUUUCAAAAUAUCCCUUCAGUAUACACAUGAAUGCUCCAGAGCAGGAAACUGCUAGUUUUACAGGAGUGGUCACACUUGCUGCUGAUCAGCUCACAAAGUCUCUCUUAUUACCAAGGUGUACUUAGUUUUUCACACACAACCUUUCCAUUUAAUUGAAAUAACUAAUGACAGUGUGGAAUCUGCUGUGUGUUUUUGUGCACUUGAGGUCCGGAUCAUUUUUGUGAUUUCCUGUAUGUUAAAAUGAAAGAGGGUGCACUUUCUUUUUACCAUGACUGCAGACUGCAGUUCAUCAUAAUAACAUCUUGUAAGACAUAUUUAUCACAUAUGCUGUCUCAAUUUUUGUGAAAUUCAUCCUCAAAUCACUGACAGCACAAAAAGUGUUAAACCAGUGUCAUUAUUUGCUUACAAAAACAAAGAGUUUUUUUACUGUUCACUGACAUCAAAAUCUGCCGUCCUUUAUCCACUCUGAAUAAGUUCUGAUAAAAAUCCGUUCUGCUGAAACACAGCGGGGUAGCAUCUUGAAAAGCAUCUCUGAAUAUCUGUGGUCUGUGAUUUAAAAGAAUGCUCUGACUAAAAAUAUUGCUCUAAUAAAUAUGCUGAGGAAAAUAAAAAAGGUAAUUAAUACCUGCAGAGUGCAUCAACAGCAAAGCUCCAUUGUCAGUGUGCUGAAUAUUCAUUUCCCAGGAUGCAGUGUGGGUGAAUUAAACAAGCUGACCUCAUCUGUUGGAUUGACUGAUAUCUGUCACUGGUGAAAAAGCAGGCAGAGGGUGCAUAAAUUCACCUGAUAGUUGUCAGGAUCUGGGUUUUGUUUGCAUUUGUUUUGUGCUUGCUUCAUGUGUUCAGUGUUUUCAGACGGUGCUGGAGUUCUCAGGUGUCCUGGGUGACAGAUGCAACUUGUUCUACUGAUUACUUUGAGGAGUACUUAAGCAGGGGGCUGCCAGCACUUCGAUGCCAGAGUGUUUUGCCCUCAGUGGCUAAGUAAACCUGAACCCUGGGUUUAUGACACUGAAUACUGAAGACUUUCUGGAUGAUCAAGGCUAUCUACAUUCUGAGGAUUUCAUUUCCUAUCUACUGUCUUCGUUUGGAUUCGCAUCUAGCUGCCAGUUUCCUGCUACCUUCGCCUCCUGGACCAAGCCGUAAGCGUACCCUGUCCACCCUCCAACGUAAGCAUCUGCACACCGAACUCAUUCCUGCUUUGCUCUGAGUUCACACUGAACAGCACCUAAAGAACCUUCUACAAACCUGGAUCAUAAAUGCCUCUUUCCCCAAUGACCUGACCACACCUAUUUAUUGGAGAAUCAUCCGUUACGUUCCUGAUUAUCUUUGUCACAAUAAACAUUCCUUUACAUAUUCUGUUCUCUAUGUGGGUCAGACCUAUUGCAAAUAAAAUGACAAUAGUGCUUAAACACAGCUCCAAAU